UCCACUCAUUCCAUAACUCAGAAAUAGUUGAAAGGAGGUUAAUCAAACAUUUCAGUUAAGUGCAUCUUCAUGCAGAGGCUCAGCACAGAAAAUCUGGUCUACAAACCAGAAGUGUUUCAGGAGUUCAGCCAGAGUAUGAGGCGAGCAUGUCCAUGGUCCCCUUAGUGCACACAACCACAGCUCACUUGUGACACAGGACCAGCCCUUCUGAGAAGGACCAAAACCUGAAUGAAGCUUCCAGCUCAGGCUCUCCUUCAGCUCACCCAGAGCCUGGGUCACCCCCAGAGUACAAGCGCAGCGACAAGCGCAGGGAUGGCAAGUCUGGCUCAGGGCACCAAUGGACACCCAGCACGUGUCUCCCACCCCACCAGAAUUAACAUCUGCUUUGGCAUCGGAGACUGGGUGAGCAGAGGUGGAAACGCACGGUCCAAACUUCUCUUUCAGUGGCCACUGAUGGCACAUCUGCCUCACUCCAUUUACCCUGCCAAGAGUGAGAGAGUGGCCAAAAUGUGGCACAUCCAAGGAGGUUCCUACACCUCUGGGCCAGCCUGAGAGUCCCUGUGGAAGGCUGCCAGCACCAGAGAGGGCAACAUCAGACCUGAGCAGCUCCAUCCACCAGGUUCAGCAGGAGAGAGAGACCUGGCAGCCCCAGGUGAGUGGUGCUGACCCCACUCCCACCCCAGCCACUGGUCGUGGAUCCCCAGCUGGUGGCCAGUGGUACAGGAGGCCCUGGCCAGCCCUCACUGGUUCCAGCAGACAGCUCCUCACCAGGGCUCAGGGGUGUCCACUCCUGCUGCGGCUGCACUGGUCCCACUGCCACCAUUUCCCACAGCAGCCACAGCUCCUGCUGGCAUCACUACAGUGCCAGCAGGGUCAGGGGUUGGCUUCAUGAGCCCACGGGGACUUUUAGAACACACACAUGGUCUGCGGGGAGUGUCUGCACCCACCAGUUACCAACACACCCCACUGCUGCUCUCUGGGCUGCCAGCAGCCUCAUCCAGCCUG
rnacentral:lncRNA from 1 species